AACGAACGCUGGCGGCAUGCCUAACACAUGCAAGUCGAACGAGACCUUCGGGUCUAGUGGCGCACGGGUGCGUAACGCGUGGGAACCUGCCCUUAGGUUCGGAAUAACUCCCCGAGAGGGGUGCUAAUACCGGAUAAUGUCUUCGGACCAAAGAUUUAUCGCCUUUGGAUGGGCCCGCGUUGGAUUAGCUAGUUGGUAGGGUAAAAGCCUACCAAGGCGACGAUCCAUAGCUGGUCUGAGAGGAUGAUCAGCCACACUGGGACUGAGACACGGCCCAGACUCCUACGGGAGGCAGCAGUGGGGAAUAUUGGACAAUGGGCGAAAGCCUGAUGCAGCAAUGCCGCGUGAGUGAUGAAGGCCUUAGGGUUGUAAAGCUCUUUUACCCGGGAUGAUAAUGACAGUACCGGGAGAAUAAGCUCCGGCUAACUCCGUG
rnacentral:rRNA from 1 species